rnacentral:sRNA from 30 species
UGAACAUGUGGCCGGAUUUAGCGGGAAUUGGUAGGGCCAAUUAAGGGGUGAGGACAACAAAGGGAAGUGAAAAGGCAAUGGCAUAAUGCCAUUGCCUUUGAUGUCGGG